UACACGGUGUUUUUCAACACCACCAACUUUGUUAUUAUCUUCGCA
rfam:Volvox carteri f. nagariensis unplaced genomic scaffold VOLCAscaffold_1, whole genome shotgun sequence.